UUAGGAUUAGAGACUUAGAGUUACGACGUCGGCAAUAGCUUCUGCUUAGUGCUUACCCCCUUUCCCUUAUUUCUAUUUUCUAACCCUAAAUUUCUCUCAAAAAUUGAAACAAUUGCUUGGCUGCUACUGUAAUUCAUGACUACAAUAGCAGAGACAGCAACGUCGACUUCAUGACCUUGGUAGCCGCGACUCCUCUCCUCGGCGACUGCUUGUUUGCACAUUGUUGACCUUCAUUCUUCAAUCUUCAAGUCUUCAACAGGUUCACAACUUCUUCAUUCUUCAUUUUUCAAUCUUCAUGUUUUAUGUUAGUUUGAAGUUGUUAUAUUUUAUUUAGUUUCUUAUGUUGACUAUAAUCAGUUUUUGAGCAUUUAAAGAAUCAUUAUUUUUGGGGUUUUAGCUAGUGAAAAGAUCUGAGUUUUAGACUUGUUGAAAUGUGCUUGUGUAACAUGUUUUAGUUUCUUUUUUAGUUUAAUAAAAUGACACCACUUUGAUUUAUGAAAAGUUAAGAAUGUGGUAGAGGUUAAACAUUGCAUCAGAUCUAGUGAGGCAAUAUCAUAACAAUUUUGGUAUGCAAUUGAUGCAUAACGAUCAUACUUCUGUCGCUCAUUUUCAUCUACACAUCUUAUUUUCAUAAUAAGAUUCUACAGUAGGAUAAGGUUAUUCCAUUCAAAAUAGCUACUUAUACAUAACACUAUCCAAACUUCAAUAUAUAUUUAAUAAGAAAAGGCACGUCAACUAUAGCUUUGACUAUUUCUGAGACAUGAGAGAACACUAUCGCGCUAACGCAUGGACAAGAAAAAAACUGGUACAAUUUAGCAUAAAAUACUUCUCCUUGACAGGAUGCUACAUUCUUCACCAUAUCAGGUAUAACAGGUAAUUAAACAAGCCAGUUUUAGCAAAUAUGAAAAAUAAUAAGCAACUAAGAAAUCUUAUCAUAAAGCUUUAAUAACCUUUCAUUUUCUUGCAACUGAACUUGACAACCACUUGGAAUCUCAAUUUGUGUUUGUAUCUGUUUUAAUUUUGUAUAGAUGGAGGAUGAAAGUAGAGUAAGUGAUGUUGGUUCAACUGAAAGCUUACCUAUUACUGAAGAUAGCAAUGCCAACACAAUUGAUACUCAGGAUUCUAAGAAAAAAAAAGCCAUAGAACCUAGAUCCACUAUUUGGAAAUAUUUUGAUAAAUUUGAGGAAAAUGGGGUCGGUAAAGUGAGGUAUAGAUAUUGUAAGCAAGCUUAUGCGGCUAAUUCAUCUAGGAAUGAACAACAAGAUUGAGAUAUCAUUUGACUAGAUGUAAAGAAUACCCACCUAACAUUGAUAAAGAUAAUACUCAAACAAGGAUAAACUUUCAAUCUUGCUAAAAUGAUGGAGAAUUGGAAAAUUUGAUCAAGAAAUAGUUAGUAGGGGUUUAAUUGAGAUGAUAGUUAUUGAUAAACUACCAUUUAGCUUUGUAAAAAAUGAAGGCUUUAUGAAGUUUAUGAGAAUAGCUCAACCACUAUUUCGUCUUCCUUCUCAUAGAACAAUAACAAGGGAUUUUUAUGAUGUUUACGGUGAAUUGAAGCAAAAUCUAAGAAUGUCUUUUAGAGAAGCACAACCAAAAAUUUGCCUCACAAUAGAUACAUGAACUUCAUUGUAAAAAAUAAAUUAUAUGUGUUUGACAGCCCACUUCAUUGAUAGGGAUUGAAAAUUACAAAAAAGAAUACUAAAUUUUUAUCCUAUCAUUAGUCAUAAGGGUGAAGAGAUGACUAAAGCUAUUUGUAAUUGUUUGCUUGAAUGAAAACUAGAUAAAGUGUUCACUAUUACCGUGGACAAUGCUUUUUCAAAUGAUGUCACAAUCAAAGAAUUGUCUAAAACGUUAGAUAUGUGGAAAAUUAAUAUGAUGAGUGGUAAGUAUCUUCAUGUGAGAUGCAUGGCUCAUAUACUUAAUCUAAUUAUGAAAGAUGGUUUGAAAUAAAUUAAUGCUUCUGUUACACGUGUUAGAAAUAUGUGAGGUAUGUGAGAUUGUCGCUUGCAAGGACCUUAAAAUUUAAACUGUGUUGUGCACUUAUAAAGGUAGAAUGUACCAAAAUAUUGUGUUUGGAUGUUCCUACUAGGUGGAAUUCCACCUAUUUGAUGUUGGAUACGGCGCAAAAUUUUGAAAAAGACCAAGUUUCAUCUCUUUGAUAAUGGAUUUUCUGCUUAUCUUUGUGAAGACGAUAGUAGUGCAGGUCCUCUUGAAUCUGAUGAUGCGGUGAAUGUGAGGAACAUAAUAAAGUUUCUUGCAAGAUUUCACGAGCUCACCAAAAAAAGUUUCAGGUUCACGUUUAUGUCACUUCUAAUGUUCAUUUUGAGGAUGUAUCUUAACUUUAUUGUCAUUUGAAAAUAUUUUUAAUUAGAGAGGAUGAGAAUUUAAGAAAAUAGUUGAGCGGAUGCAAGAAAAGUUCAAGAAAUAUUAGGGUGAGCCUGAAAAGAUGAAUAAAAUAAUUUUUAUUGCUCCCGUCUUAGAUCCACGUAACAAGUUUGAAUAUAUUAGCCUUGCACUUGAUGAACUUUUUGGGAAGGAAAAAGGGAAGAAAAUAAAUGAUAAGGUGUAUACUUAUAUGAAUUCUUUGUUUGAAGAGUAUCUAAAAACGUAUUCAACAGGAUUUUGUCCUCAGUCGCCAUCUAGAUGUACUUCAUAUGAUAAAAUAUCUAAUACAUCUAGUGGGAGUGUUAUAACUGCAUCAUCAAUAAGGACGAAACUUCAUUUGAAGAAACAAAAGGAAGACAGUGGAGGGGGGGAUGCUAAAUCGGAGUUCGAUAAAUACAUUAGUGAAGAACAAGAGCCUUAUAGUGAAGAAUUUGAUAUCUUAAGUUGGUGAAAAACACAUGCUCCUAGAUUUCCUAUUCUUUCAGAGUUGGCUCGUGAUGUGUUGGCCAUUCUAAUUUCUAGUGUAGUGUCGGAAUGUGCGUUUAGCACCAGUGGCCGUAUUCUUGAUUCAUUUAGGAUUUCAUUGACUCCUAAAUGCAUGCAAGCUCUUGUUUAUGUUCAAGAUUGGCUUAGAGAAGAGAAGAAUCUUAUUAGCGUUGAACAAGAGCGGCAAUAUCUUGAGAAAAUCGAACUUGAUAUGGAAAAUAAUGGAAGCAUUGCUAGCAUUGUUGAAGUAUAGUUGCAACUUGAGUGGUUCAAGUUCAAUCAUGCCCCGUGCUCCUAAAAUGUGCUCACAUGUUUGGGAAUACUUUGAGGUAGUAGAAGAUAAUGAAGAAGUUCGUAAAGUAAAGUGCAAGCAUUGUGGUCGAAUCUUUAAUGUUUAGUGCUCCCUCAAAGCAGAUCAAUCAACUUGGACUGCAGAACAUACAUAAGGCUCUUGAUUCUGCUGUCUAUAUAUGGAUAUACCUUCUUAGUUGACCAACUCAACGUAUCGUUGAUGAGGCGCAAGAUUAUGUCAUCAACAAGGAGAAUGAAAAGGCUAUGAUUGAAAAUGUAGAUACUGAGCCAAGCUUGGUUGCUCUUGAUGACAAGCUAACUAAUUUAGAUGAGGAACCUGGUGCUGAUGAGAAUACAACUGAAUUCCAUGAUCCAGCUGUAGCUGUAGAUAUGAAGAUGGCGAUUGAGUUACAAGAACCAAGUAUUCCUGAGAAGGAAAGUGAGGUCCAUGCACUGUCCUAGGACGACAAGACUAGUGACACUAAUUCUGGUGUUAGUGGUGAAGCAAAUUAUGAUAUUGAUCGUGAAGUUAAAUGUGGAGUUAUUAGUGGAGCUAAUUCUUGGGUUGAACCAACAUAGAGCUUGGCAGUGAACUAGUUGAUGUCUUAGGUAUUGUGGCUAAUAUUGAAGAACAGAAAGUUGGAGAAAAAGUGGGUGAUGGAUCAUUAAAAUAGUGAUGUAAUAUGCAUGUGAAUGGAUCAUUAUCUAAAUGUGCAUGUGUUUUUACUGUGAUUUAAUCGGUGAAUGUGAAUGUAUUUCUACUAUGAUUUAUCUGAAUGUAAAUAUUAUAAACUGCAAUGGUGGUAAAUUGUUGACUAAGGGAACAUAAAAUGAAGAUGUACGUUCCCCCGAUUAAGGGAACAUAAAAAAUGCUAAUGUAGUGUUACCUUUUCGGUUUCGGAUGAGUUCCACUUAAUUUCCAAGCCGGUGGGGGUAGCCAACAACUUGAAGCAUCUAGCUUCGGAUAAGGAUUGGGAAAAAAUGGAUGCUCUCUCUGCUAAAUGUCUUAUCAACAACAACAUGCAUCUGGCAGCUCAGGGCUUAUAGAAGAUGAUCCUGGAUAAAGAGGCACUUAAGAUUGAGGGGGAUCAGCUUGUUGAGCACUUCCUAGCUCAAGAGGCAUGGCUUGCUCACAUGGGUGAACUCAAAGCUUGAUUGAAGCAAACGGAGCAUUGAAAGAUGGCCCAUAGCCAAGAGGCCACUUAGUUUCGUGUUGAGCUUGCUGAAUUUAAGAUCAAGUGGGCAGAGCUGCAUGAUGCCGUAAACUUGGCGUCAAAAUGUAAGUCUACUUCCAUGUAAAUAAUUAACAACCUAGAAGUGAACUUACUCUCCAAAACCGAGGAAGCUUUCGCGGUUGAAGAGAAGAGGGACAUAAUGGAAGAGAGGUUUAAAAAGGUCAUGGAGAAAAAUUGUGAACAUGCUAAGACUAAUACUGACCUUUCCGGAGCUUAUGAUAUCUUGAAGAUUGACAACGAGCAGUUGCAAUUGAAAAUCCAAAGACUCCAGGCCAGACUCCAUUACCAAGAAGACAUCUUCUUGCUUGAGAAAACACAUGUUGUUUAUCACAUGAAGAGGAAGACAUUGUAGGAUGCCAGAAAAUGGCAUUUAUAGACGACUGCAUCGCUGAAGCUCUUGCCUUAGAGACAACUGCCUUCGAAAAUAUUCUUGCUCAGCUCACUGCUUCAAGCUUCUCGAGCACUUGCUUUGAGUGCUCGGAAACUAAGGAAGAAGUUGAAGAUUAUGAAGAUAAGGGCAAAGAUAUUGAACCCGAUGCUGAGAAACCUUCAUCUUCAAAAGAUGCAGUGAAGAUCUCUAAUCCUUCAACUUCUUCUGAUAAAGCAGAGUAAUAUAUUUUUCCUCUUUAUUUUUUUUAUCCUUUGUAAUUAUCCCAGAACCUCUAUUGGGUGCGAGGUUUUGAAAUAAAAGAUAUCUUUUCUGAACUCUUAUCUUUCUGUUGAUAAAGUCCGGGAAUUUUUACUUCCAGUUAACUUUAAUAUCAGGCAUUCAUACUUUCGAUUUUUAACCUUUAUUUAUGAAGGUUUCAUAGAGAAAGACCUUAUGUUUACGAUGAUCUUGAAGAGGGCGUCCUUCAUUCUUUCACUUGCAUUUGAAGUUUAAGUAACAUUCAAAUGAAAGAAAAUCCAUAUCAUUCGGACAAGAAAUAAGAUAUAAAAACAAAAGGACUCUUACUUAUUCCUUCUAUUUCCAAAAGUACAUUUACAUAAGCCAAAAGAAUUUAUAUAUUAGCUUAAGUAAAUAAAACUGCAUACAUGCAGCCGCUAAUUUGUACUUAGACAUACAUUCCCUGGACCUGACUCGAGGUCUUUCAUAACAACUAAACUUUCACAUUCAAGAAAUAGUUCCCGGUUCUAGCAGUCUCCGGUAUCAUUUUUACAUUUUCUUUUUGAGGCUAGCAUUGACACUUUAAGUGCUCUGAUAUACAGUAUUUCAUAGUCUCUCCCUCCUCAGUGUUCAGAUGCACAGUAUGAGAAUUUGAACACUAGAGUUCUUGUUGCUAUCAACAAUCAUUCUUCAGAGUAUGCUUUACGUUGCUACCUCAAUAAAUACCUAGACAGAAAAACUCAUUUGACAUAAGAACUGGAUGAAGAAAAAAAGAGUACAGCGCGUACUUUCAAUAUAAUCAAGGAUCUUCAACAGUAGUACCUUUUGAGGAGAGUCACGUUCCAAUUGCUUGGUAAUUUACUCCAUCUUGAUUUUCCAGUUGAUAUAAAUCUUUAUCGGUUAUAGCUAAAAUUCGGUAAGGUACUUCCUAGGUCGGUCCCAACUUUCCGGCAUUGACUUCCCAAAUAUUACAAGUUACCUUCCGUAAGACCAAGUCUUUGACUUUAAAAUAACGGAGAUUUGCUCUACGAUUGUAGUAUCUUUCCAUCCUUUUUAUUUUGUGCCACCAUUCUUACAUAAGCCAAGUUUCGAUGCUCCUCAAGCAAAUCUAACUUAAUUAUCAUUGCUUCAUCAUUCUCCCAUUCGUUUAUCCAGGAAUACCUCAUGGUCGUUUCAUCUAUCUCCAUCGGAAUCAAAGCUUCCGCACCGUACACAAGGGAAAAAGCUGCUGGAAUUUUUCUGCUGGAAAUUGGGGGUAGAAAUCGAAGAAGCGAUGGAGGCAGCGAUGGAGACAGCGAUCGAGGGCAAUGAUGGAAGCAGCGAUCGGGAGCAGCGAUCGAGGCAGUGAUGGGGGGAAGCAAUCGAGGGCAGUGAUCGGGGGCAGCGAUUGAGGGCAGCGCCUGGAUAGAAACUUUAAGUUAUAAAAAGGGGACUUUGUCCCAUUUUUCAUUUCUAACAAAUUGGAGCUUGGGGAGAGGCGAA